UACGGGGGGGGCAAGCGUUGUUCGGAAUUACUGGGCGUAAAGGGCUCGUAGGCGGCCAACUAAGUCAGACGUGAAAUCCCUCGGCUUAACCGGGGAACUGCGUCUGAUACUGGAUGGCUUGAGUUUGGGAGAGGGAUGCGGAAUUCCAGGUGUAGCGGUGAAAUGCGUAGAUAUCUGGAGGAACACCGGUGGCGAAGGCGGCAUCCUGGACCGGCAUUGACGCUGAGGCGCGAAAGCCAGGGGAGCAAACGGG
rnacentral:rRNA from 1 species